AGAAUCAACGCUGGCGGCGCGCUUAACACAUGCAAGUCGCACGAGAAAGGGAGCAAUCCUAAGUAAAGUGGCGCACGGGUGAGUAACACGUGGAUCAUCUACCUUUUAGUGGGGAAUACCUCUGGGAAACCGGAGACAAUACCGCAUAAGCCCGCAAGGGGAAAGCAGCAAUGCGCUGAAAGAGGAGUCCGCGGCCGAUUAGCUAGUUGGCGGGGUAAUGGCCCACCAAGGCGAAGAUCGGUAGCCGGCCUGAGAGGGCACACGGCCACACUGGCACUGAAACACGGGCCAGACUCCUACGGGAGGCAGCAGUGGGGAAUCUUGCACAAUGGGCGAAAGCCUGAUGCAGCGACGCCGCGUGAGCGAUGAAGCCUUCGGGGUGUAAAGCUCUUCGACGGGAACGAUAAUGACGGUACCCGGAGAAGAAGCUGCGGCUAACUACGCGCCAGCAGCCGC
rnacentral:rRNA from 1 species